rnacentral:lncRNA from 1 species
UCUAAUACAAUUAUUGAAACACGCAUUGCAGUAAACACAACCAGUUUAAGAGGAAGACAUUAUAUCAACUAUGGUUAGGAAGACAUCAUGAUUAUAACAUAUUGACAUGUUAAUGGUUUAUUUUUUCAUCUAUGCACUAUAUAUAUAUAUAUAUAUAUAUAGAUAAUUGGAUUUUUGUCAAUAUAGUAAUGAAUGUUAACACAUGUAAAAAAUGCUCUCAGGCACCAACUUCGAAGCUUUCCUAAUAUGUCUUCAGAUCUACUUUUUUUUCAAACCCAACCACUCUCAUUCACCUGAAAUAACCAUCCUUGACGGCAACCUCCGUGACUUCCUCCCCUUUCUCACCGGAAAACCCCCUCUUCUCUAACCGUGAUGGAUACCAUAGCUCCCUCUCACCAGCUCUGCUCCCGCCGUCUUGCUGUUUUUCUCGAACACCUCCUUUAUCUCCUUCUAGCUUAAAGCUAAGAAUAAGUCUGACAGAAAUUUCUUUCUAAGUCCUGGCGAACAACCUUAAGCUCACCGAGAACACAAGCUCCCCUGCUUCAUUCCUUCUCACCCUGCAAAUGGAUCCACAGACUUGCUUCUUUCAAGAUUAAAAUUUUCUCCCUGUUUGGGAUGUUUGGUGUCGCUGAGUUUUUAGCUUUUUUCAAGCAACUGCUAAGCGUUUUGCUGCUACGGUGGUGAAAGAUUUUUCUGUCCCAAAAACAGAAGUUUCAAAAGCUUACUCUACAAUAUCAAAUGGAGAGGUCAACUAACAAAGUUUUCUCCCUGUCUCCCUGUCUGGGAUGUUUAGUGUCGAAACUGAACUAACGAAAAGGAAAAAAAAAACUCUCUAGCCUUUUUUCCAAUGUAGCCUAUGAAGGAUUUUAGAUCUCUUUUUUCUCCAUGGACUUGAAAUUUGAACCUUGUCGUUCUCCCCGGCCUUCCUCUUUUGCUCAGAUCUUGUUCUAGCU